CGCAACCCUUGUCCUUAGUUACCAGCACGUUAUGUGGGCACUCUAAGGAGACUGCCGGUGACAAACCGGAGGAAGGUGGGGAUGACGUCAAGUCAUCAUGGCCCUUACGGCCUGGGCUACACACGUGCUACAAUGGUCGGUACAAAGGGUUGCCAAGCCGCGAGGUGGAGCUAAUCCCAUAAAACCGAUCGUAGUCCGGAUCGCAGUCUGCAACUCGACUGCGUGAAGUCGGAAUCGCUAGUAAUCGUGAAUCAGAAUGUCACGGUGAAUACGUUCCCGGGCCUU
rnacentral:rRNA from 1 species